CAGCCAUCCUCAUCUCCACUUGACUUUGGUCUCCCACAGAUGGCCAAGCCUGCUUCCCAGAUCUCACUUGUGUUAAAUGGUUUUGCCUCACAAAUCUCAAAUUCCAAAAUAUGUCUAAGAUCACCAUGAAUUAGAAACCCUUUUAUAAUUCAUGUGACAACUCGAGUCAUAAGCUGUGGCUCCUGUCUCUCUUUGUGGCCUCAACUCUUACCACUUGCCACAGGACCCUACAGUCCAGCCUCCAGCUUCUGGGUCUUGUGUAUUCUGCUCUCCUCCAGGGACCAGCACGGCUGAGGGCUCUGUGAGUGGAGGAAACUGAGCCAGCGCCUGGGAUGAAGAAGGUGAGGGCAUGUGCAGGAAGCACCAUAGCCCAGCUUUCCACCAGCCCAGCUUCACCACUACACAGUGUGUCUCUAUACCGAGGAGCUACCUGCUUUGAGACUCAGUCUUCCUACAAGGCAAAAAGAGAAAACGUGGCUGCUCAAUGUGGUCCAGACUUGGAGCCAGUGAACCAAGCUCUCACCAUGCGGCACAAUCUCCUCAGCCUCAUGUUCAAUGUGCUUUCUUUAGAAAUGCUGAUUGUAAAUGAUGACACCUUUUAAAAACGAAAAUUCAAUUAAAUUCAAUACAUAUUUAUUGGGCACAUGCUUCAUUUAAGUUCCUGAUUUAGAAAAAUCCAUUCCCGCCCCUGAGAACCUCAUAAUCUGUAGGAGGAGACAUAAAUAGAAACAGCUGAGAAUGAUCAUGUAAAAUCCACACAUAGCCUCUUGCACACAUAUCCCAGAAAGGAAAGGACAAAGCUUUGAACACAUUCAUGCCUUUGGCUUAGGAAAUGUUAAGGAUUUGGAGACUAUCAAAUGCAGUACAUUCUAUUAUUGAGAGUUAGGGAGCUCAGGCAAUCUUCUAUAGAGAUAUGAAAAGAUGGUUGAAAAAAUAAGUCUCCAGUUUAUUUGGAGUUUGUUAUUUAGGGAAAAAUGCAAUUUAUGUGUCCCAGGGUUGGCUGGAUGUGAUGGCUCAAGCCUGUAAUCACAGUGACUCAGAAGGCUUCAGUGGGAGGGAUGCUUGAGCCCAGGGGUUCAAGACCAGCCUGAACAACAUAGCAAGACCCCAUCUCUAAAAAUGAUUUUUUAAAAUAAGCUGGAAUGGUGGCACGUACCUGUGGUUCCAGCUAUUUGGGAGACUGAGGCAGGAGGAUCUUUUGAGCUGAGGAGGUCAAGGCUGCAGUGAGCCAUGAUCAUGCCACUGCAUUCCAGCAUGGGCAACAGAGAAAGAUCUUGUCUGAAACAAAACACAACAAAACAAUAUAAAAAUCCACAAAAGUUACAGGCUGAAGUACAAAAGGUGAUAGUAAGAUUCAUAGUAAAAUAAUGGGAAUCACUUAUGUACUCUAUUUACUUAGUCAUUGCAUUUAAAAUCUAUGAUGCAAUACACAAUUGUAUGAAUAAUGUAAUUUAAAACCAAUGAAAGGCUGGGUGCAGUGGCUCACACUGUAAUCCCAGCACUUUGAGAGGCCAAGGUGGGCAGAUCACUUGAGGUCAAGAGUUUGAGACCAGCCUAGCCAACACUGGUGAAACCCCAUCUCUACUAAGUAUACAAAAAAUUAGCCAGGCAUGGUGGCAGGUACCUAUAGUCCUAGCUACAAGGGAGGCUGAGGCAUGAGAAUUGCUUGACCUGGGAGGUUCAUGCCACUGUACUCCAGCCUGGGUGACAGAGCAGGACUCUGUCUCAAAAAAAAAAAAAAGUGAAAGAACUGGUAAAAAGAAAUCAGAUCUGCCUUAAAUGUGGGAUCUGCUAAAACAGUGGCUCUGUGAUA
ensembl:lncRNA